rnacentral:rRNA from 1 species
UGAGGAACAUGACCUUCGGCGGGGGAUAGCCGGCCCAACGGCCGGGUAGUACCGCGUACGACCACAUGGGGACAUCCCUGAGUGGUGAAAGCAGCAAUGCGCCGAUGGAGUGCCUCGCGGCCUAUCAGCUAGUUGGUGAGGUAACGGCUCACCAAGGCAACGACGGGUAGCUGGUCUGAGAGGAUGGCCAGCCACAUUGGGACUGAGACACGGCCCAGACCUCUACCGGGAGG